rnacentral:lncRNA from 1 species
UCUCAGACAGGGUCAGCACACUGCGUCACACUGCACAGAUUAACACCCACCACAAGAGAUUCCUUUUUGACAAUUUAACUUCAGCUAUGCAUUCAAAUACAACAGGCAGCAAUAAUCCAAGAAUACAGGUUAAAAGCCAGACAGCCAAUUGGUCUCAGGAUAUUAGAAGCAACUAGAAAAUUCAUUUCCCACUAUAAGUCUUUACUCUAGGGAGGUCUCAACAGGACUCCUGCUAUUCUGUGUCCUUCCAGUGCUGGGAGAAGGCCAAAAAAUGCCAUAGCAGAGACUGAGCCACACUAACCACUGGUGGGUUCAGUCCCUGGAAGAAGGCAGAGUGUCUACAUGAGGUGCUGUCUGAAGGGUGAUGGGGAAGCAGCUGCUGGCACUGAGGUGAAAGAGGGUUGCUGCUCACCAGAGGAACUGCCAUCAGUGCUGGGCUUGAGGGAAGACUUUGCCUUCCCCCAUCGACUCUGAGACGUCAACACCUGCACCAUUGUUAGAAGUACUUUCCAUUUCCAACAACAUUCAUAAUUCCUGAAUUUUACAAAACUUCACAAUCAACUGGUCCUUGUACUUGUGUGUUCUCCCCUAGUUACACAAGGGAGAUCCUCUAAAGGGCUCAUCCUGAAUCACCACUUGCAAAAGUUGUAUAUCAGCUGCUCCUUAAUCCAGACAGUGCCUUGGCUUUUAUUUUAUUUU